CUGAACGGUGAUAACUUACCGUUUGGAAGCUUGUGAAUGUUUUUUAUUAGCCAUUCAAACAGGCUGGCAAAGUUGCAAUUGCACACCCAGGGGUUGCCCUCUAAUCUCACCACCCGCAAGGAGGGCAACUGACUCAGAGCCCCCACUUUUAGGCUGGACAGUGCAUUGCGUUCCAGUUCCAGUUCUCGCAGAGAGGUGAGGCCUAGGAAGGCGUCCUCGCUCACCAUGCUCAGUGCACAACAACAUGCUGUAAGAGCAUAGCAGAGCUCAGCGUUCCUCUGUCCAGCACCAUCUUAAGGCUGUUUGAGAGAGAAUCCAAACGUCCAGGCGGGAGCGUUGUGGGUGCAGGCUCCAGUGCUGAGCGGGCACACAGCCAUGCCAAUCCAACGUCUGCUGCUGAGUCUCCCACGGUUUAUCUCAUACCCUCUUCUUAUUUCCAGAGGGGGCGUGCCUAAUGUAACGCUGUCAACAUAUGAUGUCACUUCCUAGUGUGACAAGAAAUGAUGAUUGAAUCUCAAAAUAAAAAAUUAAUUAAAGAA